rnacentral:rRNA from 1 species
UACGAAGGGUGCAAGCGUUACUCGGAAUUACUGGGCGUAAAGCGUGCGUAGGUGGUUUUUUAAGUCCGUUGUGAAAGCCCUGGGCUCAACCUGGGAAUGGCAGUGGAUACCGGAAAGCUAGAGUGCGGUAGAGGGUAGUGGAAUUCCCGGUGUAGCAGUGAAAUGCGUAGAGAUCGGGAGGAACACCAGUGGCGAAGGCGGCUACCUGGACCAGCACUGACACUGAGGCACGAAAGCGUGGGGAGCAAACAGG